AAAUCAACAUUUGGCUAAGAUCAAGGGUAUAUGGGUUCUUAUCAGUUUAAUAUCUGAUGCAUCCUCUCUCCAAGGGCAAGAUAUAAAAUGGACUUUUGGAACAGGUAGAUGAACUAGGAGCUUGAUCUGUCUACCCGCUACAGCAACCUGGUAUCACAGAAACAACCGCAUGUCAGGAAAUCAU